rnacentral:rRNA from 1 species
CAGCGAAAUGCGAUACUUGGUGUUAAUAAUUGCAGAAUCCCGUGAACCAUUGAUUCUUAGAAUGCAUGUUGCACCCGAAGCCAUAGGCCAAGGGCACUUUUGCCUAGGCGUCAAACAUCGGGUCACCCCUCCCCCCACAUGCUGCAAGGCAUAACACAUGGCGAAAGUUGGCCUCCUGUGCUCCUCGAGCGCGCGGCUGGCCUAAAUGCGAGUCCACGUCGACGGACUUCACGGCAAGUGGUGGUUGAAACUCAACUCUCUCUUUUUGUCGCGACUACAACCUAUCGUGUGUCCUGAUUCCCAGACCCUCCAAUCGCCGACUAAAACCCUCUAACCGCGACCCCGGGUCAGGCGAGAUUACCCGCUGAGUUUAAGCAUAUCAAUAAGCGGAAGAAAAGAAACUUACAAGGAUUCCCUUAGUAAUGGGGAGCUAAUCGGGAACAACCUAACCUUAGAAUCGGGUGGCUCCAUUGUCCGAAUUGUAUUCUGGAGAAGCGUCCUCAGCGAAGGAUCGGGCCCAUGUCCCUUGGAAGGGGCGUCAGAGGGGGUGACAACCCCGUUGUCCCUGGACCCUGCCACACGACGAGGCGCUGUCUACGAGUUGGGUUGUUUGGGAAUGCAACCCAAAUCGGGCGGUGAAUUUCGUCCUUGGCUAAAUACGGGUGAGAAACCGAUAAUGAACAAGUACCACGAGGAAUCUGAUUGGUGGGAUCCUCCUGAGGGGUGCACCGCCGACCGACCUUGAUCUUCUGAGAAGGGUUCGAGUGUGAGCAUACUUGCUGGGACCCGAAAGAUGGUGAACUAUGCCUGAGCGGGGUGAAGCCAAAGCAUACUCUAGUGGAGGCCCGUUGUGAUACUGACGUGCAAAUCGUUCAUCUGACUUGGGUAUAGGGGCGAAAGACUAAUUGAACCGUCUAGUAGCUAGUUUCGUUCGAAGUUUCUCACAGAAUAACUAGAGCUCAGGUACGAGUUCUAUCGGGUAAAGCCAAUGAUUAGAGGCUUCAUGGGGCAACACCCUGACCUAUUUUAAAACAUUAAAUCAGAAGGACGACGUGACUGCUUCGUUGAGCUGCACCACAGAAUCAAGAGCUCCAAGUGGGCCAUUUUUGGUAAGCUAUACUGGCGAUGAGGGAUGAACCGAAACCCGGCUUAUGGUUCCAAACUGCACUCUAACCAAGAUCCAACAAAGGGUGUUGGUCGAUUAAGACAGUAGAAAGGUGGUCAUGGAAGUCAAAAUCUGCUAAGGAGUGUGUACCAACUCACCUGCAGAGUAAACUAGCCCCGAAAAUGCAUGGGCACUUAAGCGUGCGACCUACACUUAGCCGUCGGGGCAAGUGCCAGACCCCAAUGAGUUGGAGGGAAUGGCGGUCGCUACAAAACCUUGGGCAUGACCAUGUGCGGAGCAGCCGUCAUGUAGAUCUUGGUGGUAGUAGCAAAUAUUCAAAUGAGGACUUUGAAGGCCGAAAAGGGGAUAGGUUCAAUGUGAACGGCACUAGCACAUGGGUUAGUUGAUCCUAUGGGUCAGGGGAACCCUAAUAGAUAGCACAUUUCACGCGUACUCCGAAAGGGAAGCGGGUUAAAAUUCCUUAAUCGGAACAUGACAGUUGACGACAACGUUAGAAAGUCGGCAAACGUCGGUGGGAGCCUCAGGAAGAGUUGUCUUUUCUAUUUAACAGCAUGCCCACCAUGGAAUCGAUUUGCCGGAGUUAGGGUUCAGUGGAUGGAAGAGCACCACACAUCACGUGGUGUCUAGUGCACUCCCGACGACCCUUGAAAAUCCAGAGGACCUAAUGUCGUCCACGCUCGAUCGUCCUCAUAACUGCAUCAGGUCUCCAAGGUGAACAACCUCUGGUUGAUGGAACAAUGUAAGCAAGGAAAGUCGGCAAAAUGGAUCCGUAACUUCGUGAAAAGAAUUGGCUCUGAGGGUUUGGCAUGGGGGUCCUAGUACCGAACCCACUGGCUGUCCAUGAACUGCAUGAGCUGAACCCACAGAAAUAAUGGGUCGCCGUGUGCCGGCCGGGGGACGGACUGGGAACAGUUCCUUUGGGGGCCUUCCCCGGGAGUCAAAUUGCCAACUCAGAACUAGUACGGACAAGGGGAAUUUGACUAUUUAAUUAAAACAAAGCAUUGCGAUGGUCCCAACGGAUGUUUACGCAAUGUGAUUUUUGUCCAGUGCUCUGAAUGUCAAAGUGAAGAAAUUCAACCAUGCGGAGGUAAACGGCCGGAGUAAAUAAGUCUCUCUUAAGGUAGCCAAAUGCCUCUUCAUCUAAUUAGUGAAGCGU